AAAAUUAAAAGGACGCGGUAACCUUGACCGUGAUAAUGUAGCAUAAUCAUUCGCCAUUUAAUUGAUGGAUAGUAUGAAUGGUUGAACGAAUAUUCCACUGUCUUAAGAAGAAAUAAUAAAAAAUUAGAAUAAUAGUAAAGAUUCUAUUUAAAAUUGUAAGACGAAAAGACCCUAUAGAGCUUAACUAUAAAUUUUCUAUAUAACUAAUUAUAGCAGAAAAUUUGGUAGUUUAGUUGGGGCGACUGUCUUUUAAAAAUAACAAAGACAAGCAAAAAUUAAUACUAAAAUUUAUUGUAUAACUAAUAAAUUUAACAAUUACAAAAGUAGGCUAUAAUGACCCGUUAUUAUUUAAUAAGAAAAAUAACGAUCAAUAAAUAAAAGCUACCUUAGGGAUAACAGGAUAAUUUUAUUCUAGAGAUCUAAUCGAAAAUAAAGUUUGUCACCUCUAUGUUGAAUUAAGA
rnacentral:rRNA from 1 species